rnacentral:rRNA from 1 species
UACGGAGGGUGCGAGCGUUAAUCGGAAUUACUGGGCGUAAAGCGCACGUAGGCGGUCAGGCAAGUCGGGGGUGAAAGCCCUGGGCUCAACCUGGGAAUUGCAUUCGAAACUAUCUGACUAGAGUAUGGGAGAGGGAAGCGGAAUUUCCGGUGUAGCGGUGAAAUGCGUAGAGAUCCGGAAGAACACCGGUGGCGAAGGCGGCUCGCUGGGCAGUGGCUGACGCUGAGGCGCGACAGCGUGGGGAGCAAACAGG